UUUUUUUUUUUUUUUUAACUUGAUGGCCACACCUGUGGCGUAUGGAAGUUCCUGAGCCAGGGAUUGAAUCUGAGCUGCAGAUGUGACCUACGAUGCAGCUGAGACAAUGCCAGAUCCUCUAACCCACUUCAACAAGCCAGGGAUGGAACCUGGCCUCUGCAGCGACCCAAGUCACUGCAGUCAGAUUCUUUGUUUUUUUUGUUUUUGUUUUUUUUUUUAACUUUUUAGGUCUACACUUGUGAGGUAUAUGGAAGAUCUCAGGCUAGGGGUCAAAUUGGAGCUACAGGUGCCGGCCUACGCCACAGUCACAGCCACAUGGGUUCCAAGUCGCUUCUGUGACCUGGACUACUGCUCACGGCAAUGCUGGAUCCCUGACCCACUGAGAGAGCGAGUUCAGGGAUCAAAUCUGCAUCCUCAUGGAUACUAGUUGGAUUCAUUUCCACUGAGCCACAACGGGAACUCCCUGCAGUCAGGUUCUUAACCCACUGUGCCACAGCAAGACAUCCAUAUCCAUUGAGUUUACAGUUUUGGCUCUUAUAUCUUUUUAUUUCAGUAUCUCCCGCCUUGGUCUUUUUCUUUUGUCUUAUUCUGAUUCUUGCUCAUACUAACAGUAUCUUUCUCAAGAGAGGAUUUGCCUGUGCCAGGUUUGUAGGGGCGAGCUUAUGGCCAAGACUACCUUAAUCCAACUUUAAGAAUUAAGAUUACCUGGACUACCAGAAAGGAGGGAGCUAGCCUUCAAGUCCAUGCAAGGCUAAGUUUGCUUUUUGUUCACCUCUACUCAGGCACGUAGUCUUUCAGAACAAACCAGAGAAAGUGGGAAUUGGUUUAUCAUGUAGAUUGCAAGUCUUCUUUUGGCUCACCCAUUCCUAUGAAGCCCUUUGAGUCCUGUGACCUGGCCGCUUCCUAAGGGUAGAGAAUUUCCUAUAGGCAAAAGUAGCUGUGUAUGGCUGAGCUGACUGCUGUGGCUUCCCUUGUUCGCUCAGAUUUUUAAAUGGCAAGAUUUAAAGAGAGAGAGAGAGAGAGAGAGAGAGAGAGAGAGAGAGAGAGGGAGAGAGAGGGUGUGUGUGUGUGUGUGUGUGUCCCAAGUUUCGUUUUUCAGGUUAUUUCACUAUUAUUGAAAGAAUUCUCACCAGUUCUUUCCUGAUCUUGGCGUUCUGUUUUGUUUUGACCUUGCCUGUGGCAUGCAGAAGUUCCCAGGCCAGGGAUUUAACUUGUGCCACUGCAGUACUUGAGCCAAAGCUGUGACAAAGUGGAGCCACCAUGGAACUCCCUUGAACUUGGUUUUGGUAGUGAAAUCCUACCCUUGUAGUGUGGGAGACACUGUAUAUUUUUUUAGGGGAGAAAUAGUGAAGAGGUACUUGUUUAAUAAUAGGUCACCCCUUCAGGAAGUCCCCUCUGUGCAUAUGUGCCAGGCACAGCCCUUUAUGCUCACCAUUAUCUCUUCAGAACCCUUCGAAAAAGCCAUUACCUCCAUAUCACACUUUAAAUAAAAUGGGCCCAGAGAGAUUGAAUAAUUGGUCAGAUGUCAUCAGAGUUAGUAAUGGGCUGAUCCGGGAUUUAGCCCCAAGUCUUUUUUUUUUUUAGGGUUUUAUUUUUUCUAUGAUAGUUGAUUUACAUUGUUCUGUCAAUUUCUGCUGUACAACAAAGUGACCCAGUCAUACAUACACAUAUAUAUAUACAUGUGUGUACACAUAUAUGUAUACAUGUACACAUAUGUGUAUAUAUGCAUGUAUGUACAUAAAACCCCAGACUCCUAGUCCAUUCCAAUUCCUCCCCCUUGGCAACAACAAGUCUGUUCUACAAGUCCAUGAAUUUGUUUCUUUUCUGUAGAAAGGUUUAUUUGUACUGUAUAUUAGAUUCCAGGUAUAAGUGAAAUCAUGUGUUUGUCUUUCUGACUUACUUCACUUAGUAUGAGAGUCUCUAGUUCCACCCAUGUUGCUGCAGAUGGCAUUGUUUUGUUCUUGUUCUUUUUUAUGACUGAGUAGUAUUCCAUUGUGUACAUAUAUCACAUCUUCUUGAUCCAUUCCUCUGUUGAUGGACAUUUAGGUUGUUUUCAUGUCUUGGCUAUUAUGAAUAGUGCUGCAGUGAACAUAGGGGUGUAUGUAUCUUUUUGAAUGAAAGUUUUAUCUGGAUAUAUGCCCAGGAGUGGGAUUGCUGGGUCAUACAGUAGUUCUAUGUUUAGUUUUCUGAGAUAGCUCCAUACUGUUUUCCAUAGUGGUUGUACCAAUUUACAUUCCCUUUUCUCCACACCCUCUUCAGCCCUUGUUAUUUGUUGACUUGUUAAUGAUGGCCAUUCUGGUGUGAGGUGGUACCUCAUUGUAGUUUUGAUUUGCAUUUCUGUAAUAAUUAGUGAUGGUGAACAUUUUUUCGUGUGCCUAUUGGCCCUCUGUGUUUCUUCUUUGGAGAAAUGUCUAUUCAGGUCUUCUGCCCAUUAUUCAAUUGGGUUAUUUUUGUUGUUGUUGAGUUGUAUUAAGUUGUUUGUAUAUUUUAGAGAUUAAGCCCUUUUCAGUUGCAUCGUUUGAAACUAUUUUCUCCCGUUCCAAAGGUUGUCUUUUUUUUUUUUAUGGUUUCCUUUGCUAUGCAAAAGCUUUUAAGUUUGCUUAGGUCCCAUUGGUUUAUUUUUUUUCUGUUGUCUUUUGAGACUGACCUAAGAAAACAUUUGUAGGUUGAUGUCAGAGAAUGUUUUGCCUAUGUUCUCUUCUAGGAGUUUUAUGAUGUCUUGUCUUAUGUUUAAGUCUUUAAGCCAUUUUGAAUUUAUUUUUGUGCGUGGUGUGAGGGUGUGUUCCAGGUUCAUUGAUUUACAUGCAGCUGUCCAGUUUUCCCAGCACCACUUGCUGAAAAGACUUUUUUCCAUUUUAUAUUCUUCCUUUGUCAAAGAUUAAUGGACCUUAAGUGUCUACGUUAGUUCCAGUUAGCUCCAAGUCUUUUGAACGUUCAAGCCUGUGCUGUGUAUAUGCUGUGUUGGCUUUGAUUCAAAGAGGAAAAAGUUAAAGUCUAUCAGAGGUUGAAAGUGCCUUAUCUUAAAGGGACUUUUUAAUUUUAACGGUUAUUUGCAGCUGGAGUGUUUGUACUUCCAGGUUGCUUGGGCAUGCCAAAAACAAGUUGUAAGUUCAUUAUAAAAUAUUAAUGUGCAAGGAUUCUUGCUCAUAGAAUAAAGUUUUUUUCCUUUAAAAAUUUCAGUGGCCACUCAAUGGAGCUGUCUAAAAAAAAUCCAUGUGUUAAAAACAUCUCGUUCUUUUUUAUGAUCUCAACUCAUCUGUUUUGUAUCUGAGCUAGAUAUUCUUCAUGCUUCAUUUCCUAUUUUUUUCAUAUUGGUUGCUAUACAAUAAAGGAUUUGAUUAAAGUGCAGGAAAUAGUCAUUGCAUAUGUAUUGGUUUUUAAUCAAUUGAUGAAUAGACGUUGGUUAAAAUGUUUCUAAUUUUAUGAUCUCAUCCUAUGUCUAUGUACUGAUUUAAGCUGGUGCUUAAAAUUGUCAGUCUUCCAUCCAGCAUUCAUUAGGAACUGUGAAGUUUGUCUUCUAAGCUUUGAUUUUAUUUGCAGGGAAUUUCACCAAAGAAAAGUGAUCAUAUGUAUAAUAUAAGUAGUUUAUUUCCAUUUAGUUAUAUCUUUUGGUGGUAAGUUACUAUAGUGAUUGAGGCUUAUAUUUAAUCUUGUCAGAUUAUACAAACUGAAAUUUGUUUUAUGUAAACUAGAAACAAAAGAUUU
rnacentral:lncRNA from 1 species